AGAGCCGAUUAUUGACAUACCAUUGACCCUGUUAUUGACAGUAUAAGUAAAUGAUUAUAUGGUUAUUUAGACUAUAAAUAAUCUAAAAUAAUU